CCCCUCUCAGUGUCGCACCUGGAGAGUUUCCAGUACUCUUCCAGUCUUGACUACUGGGGGGAGAGUCAAGCAGAGGCAUACCCAUUCCAUCCUUACCUUGGGCAGUAGCUAGUGAGUGGAAGGCAGUCUGCUACAAGU